UACGGGGGGGGCAAGCGUUGUUCGGAAUUACUGGGCGUAAAGGGCUCGUAGGUGGCCAACUAAGUCAGACGUGAAAUCCCUCGGCUUAACCGGGGAACUGCGUCUGAUACUGGAUGGCUUGAGUUCGGGAGAGGGAUGCGGAAUUCCAGGUGUAGCGGUGAAAUGCGUAGAUAUCUGGAGGAACACCGGUGGCGAAGGCGGCAUCCUGGACCCGACACUGACGCUGAGGAGCGAAAGCCAGGGGAGCAAAGCGGG
rnacentral:rRNA from 1 species